UGUCGGCUCCAUUGGUGACCCAGAUGGCACCGCGCUCACAUCUCUCUUGCAUCCGUUUUAGAGAUCGAAUUUGCCUGUGUGUCGCCCAGUGAAUUUUCAUCCAUCUCUUCUCUGUGUAUUUUUAAAAAUAUAAACCCCAAUCUAUACUAGUGACAGUGUGUCCAGAGGCGAUUCAACACAUUUCAAUUAGACAUUUGUGUGUGUGUGUUUGACUUUUCUGUCGGAAAAAAACAAUCAUCGGAACCCCCCCCCCCCCCCCCCCUACGAUUCCGGCGGACUACAAAGUUUAUUUUUAGUCCAGCGCGUCUUGUGACAUUGUGUGUCUGUUACAUAUUGCCAAUCUCAAACUGAUUCUAUUUGAAUGGCACCAAGUGAUCCGUUUCAUCCGCUCAUUCUCUGGUUGGUUUGAUUCGACAACAUUUGAUUGAGAUUUAAUUAUUAGUGAACAAACAGCAAUCCAGCUUUGUUCAGUGGCUGUUGUUGUUAUCGUUUGGUCUGUCGCCAGAUGAUCAGAUUGGUUCAAGCCGGCUGGUCGAUCCUGGCCGGCCUGUUGCUGCUCCAGUCGCUCGACUGUUUAGCGGCCGCCCGCCAAGAUGAGCAGCCGGCCACGUCCGGCUCGUCGUCGUCUUUGGCGGCCUUCAAGAGCGCGUCCAUCGAGUACGAGCACUUUUUCAAUCACGGCACGACGGCCAAUCCCAAGAGCGGCCACCACAAGUUCAACAAGGAUCAACUGGGCGGCGGCAAACUGGAAAACGAAGUCCUCAAGUCCAAAGUGGAGGUCCUGGGCGAGGUGUUGAAGCAGCGCGUCCAGGCCCUGCGUCACGUGCCUGGGCAGAAAGUCGAAUUGGUUUUCCUGGUCGACUCGUCCGCCUCGGUCGGAGCCGAGAAUUUCUUCAACGAAUUGAAAUUCGUCAAGAAACUCCUGGCCGAUUUCACCGUGUCGGCCGACGCGGCCCGCGUGGCCGUCGUCACCUUCUCCUCCAAGAACCGCGUCGUCCGUCACAUCGAUCACGUCAGUCGGCUGGGACUGACCGGCCACCGGGAGCUCUCGGCGGACGGCGGUGGCGAUCCUAGGCACAAGUGCCGUCUGCUGGAACAGGAGCUGCCGGCCAUCGGCUACACGGGCGGAGGAACCUACACGUUGGGAGCUCUGCUGGAGGCCCAGUCGGUGCUGGAAGAGGCCCGGUCCGAGGCGGUCAAGGCCGUUUUCCUCAUCACCGACGGCUACUCGAACGGCGGCGAUCCUCGGCCGGCCGCCAAGCGGCUGCGUGAGCAAGGCGUCCGCAUUUUCACCUUCGGCAUCCGCAACGGCAACGUCAAGGAGCUGUACGACAUGGCCUCGGAGCCGGCCCAGGAGCACUCGUACAUUGUUGACAGUUUUGAGGAGUUUGAAGCGCUGGCCAGACGGGCCUUGCACGAGGAUUUGCAGACGGGCUCCUACCUGCCGCAGCGCAACCGAUCGGCCUGCGACCGGCUGUGCAGGGACCAAUCGGAAUGUUGCCAUCCGUCGGCCGAGUGCACCUGCGGCACCCACACCGGACACUACGCCUGCCUCUGCCCGCCCGGACACUACGGAACCGGAUUAAAAGACGAUUGUCACCCGUGUCCAGGUGGUACGUACCGAAGUGACGGCGGUCCAGGUGACUUGCGCUCCUGCCGCCAAUGUCCGGAUGAGAAUCACAUCUCGCCGCCGGGCAGCACGUCGGAAUCCCAGUGCCAAUGCCCGCGCGGCUACGUGCCGUCAGAGGAGGACGGCGGCCGGACGUGCCAACUGCUGGCCUGCCCCAAGCUGGACCCGCCGGCCAACGGCUACUUUGUCAAGCAGUCGUGCAACAGCGUCUUCAACGGAGCCUGCGGCAUCCGCUGCAACGGCGGCUACAAGCUGAUCGGAUCCAGCAUCCGCCUCUGCCAGGAGAACGGCACCUGGUCCGGCGAGGAGGCCGCCUGCCAGAUGCGCAGCUGCGGCUCGGUCCCGCCACCCAAGAACGGCAGGAUUGAGUGCACCUCCGACAGUUACGUCAUCGACAGCGAGUGCACCUUCAGCUGCGACGUCGGUUUCACCCUGGUCGGAUCACGCAAAAGAGUUUGCCUGCCCAUCGGCUACUGGGACGGCCUUCCGGCCUUUUGCAAACCGGUCUUUUGCAAUCCGCUACCCAAGGUGAUGAACGGGACGUGGGGGCCGUCCAAGUGCCCGCAAGCCAAGAUCCGUUACGGCGAGCACUGCAAUGCCACCUGCGCCACUGGGUUCGAGCUGCGCGGGCCGGCAGUCCGUCGCUGCUCCGAACUGGGGGCCUGGACCGAAGAAGAAGUUAAAACUCGAUGCGUCGAUGUGACCCCGCCGGAAAUCACCUGUCCGGCUGACGUGACGCUGGAUGCGGAAGCGGGUGAAAAUUUCGCCAGUUACUCCUGGGAUCAUCCGGUGGUGUCGGACAAUUCCGGCGCAGUGCCGGACGUCAUCAGCGUGCCGGCCGUGACGGAACAGCCGAUGCGCUUCCGGAUCGGCAACGCCACGGUGGCCUACAAAGCGCUGGAUCGGCGAGGCAACCAGGCCGAGUGCAGUUUCCAGGUGACGGUGCUGGACGGGCAGCCGCCGACGGUCGACCAAUGCGAGUCGCCGCCCACUUUUCUGCUCCGCGACCGGAACGCCAGCGUCGUCUGGGACGAGCCGGUGUUCAGCGACAAUUCCGGACGGCCGACGACGGUCGAGCGCUCCCACGAUCCGGGCCGUUUCCCACUGGGCGAGACGGAAGUCGUUUACACGGCCACCGACGAGUCCGGCAACAGUAAGACGUGCACGAUCGUCAUCCGCGUCCAGGAGCACGCCUGCCAUCUGCCCAUCGAUCCGAUCCACGGCCAGGCCAACUGCUCCCAGCAGCCGGACGCCGUUUACUGUUCGCUGACGUGUCACGACGGUUACGCCUUCGCCAUGCCACCACCUCGUAAUUAUUUUUGCGCCUACGACGGCCAGUGGCUGCCGGCCGACAGUCCGCUGCCUUUUCCCGACUGUUCCGUCACCACUCACUCGGAUGCGCUCAUCCAGGACGGCCUGUUGCGUCUCACUAAUGUUGGCCAAGGCUCGGAAGAGGAGAAAAUCUGCCAGGAUCCGUUCCUGAUGAGCCAAAUGGAGGGCCAUUUUAAGCGACGGCUGGCCGCCCGGCUGAACGAAAUCUGCGGCGACAACAUGAUCUGCCAGGUGGACGACCUCCAGGCCGAGUGCCGACAGGUGGUGGCCGAAUCGGACGAUGACCCGUCGAUGCUGGACGAGGACGGCCAGAAUUCGGUAGACUGGGAAGAGACCAACGAAAUAACCCGAUCCAGACGGAGCGUCACAGCUGGAAGGUAUCAACGUCAUUCAGUUGAUUGGUCUAAAAUAAUCCGGCGGAUGAAACGGAAUGCCAACAGCAACUCGACAAAAAGCAACGCGGAUAAAAGCAAAAAGAACAGCGGCAUGACGUUGGAGUUGCGCUUCAAAGUUUUAAGUCGAUUUCCUAAGAAAUCAAACGGGACGGAUGAGAUUUCGACGACGACGACAUCGAGGACGACGUCGCCGACGUUCAGUCGAUUGACGCCGGAGGUGAUGCUGAACGAAUUGAAUCAACUGCGGGCGUUGCUGACCGAAUCGGCUCUGUCGGGAGAGUUCAACGUCAAUUACACGGCCGGUCAACUGUUGAACGUCUUCGACGUCCAAUUCCAGGGCGACGUCGAGCGUCCAAAGUUCAGCUGCCCGGCGGGCAGCGUGCCCAUCAAGGCCAACGACAAUAAUAAUAAUAAUAAUGCGACGACUAGCAAUCACGAUUUCGCCCGCUGCGUCUACUGCCCGAUCGGCACCUUCUUCAACGUCGUCAACGAAGUCUGCGAGUCCUGCUCGCAAGGAUCCUACCAGCCGGAAGAGGGCCAGCUCUCCUGUUUGGUCUGCCCGCACAACACGUCCACCAAAGUCGUCAACGCCAAACGUUCCGACGAUUGCCAAGCUCAAUGCCUGGCUGGAAGUUACUCUCCAACCGGACUGGAACCGUGCAGCACUUGCCCGCAAGGGACGUACCAGACCGAGUACUCGCAGCGAAACUGCCUUCCUUGCCCGUCGGGUUCGACCACAUGGCGCCGAGGCGCCCGUCGUCUGGACGACUGCAAGUCCGUCUGUCCGCGAGGACUCGUUUCCGAGACUGGAUUGGCCCCCUGUUUCUCCUGCCCGGUCGGAUUCUACCAGCCGCUCAACGGUCAGAGAUUCUGCAUCCGCUGCCCGCGACGGUCGCCUUACACAGCCGGAAUUGGAGCCGUCAACCGGAUGGAAUGUCUGAGAACUCGACCUGUAACAGACGACAAUUACGUCAACGGAACGGACGAGUUUCCCGAGCCGGAAGCGACGGAAGAAUUCGAAGAAAUGACUUUGCUGGAAGUCAACGAAUGUUUUUCUCUGCCCUGUCAGAAUGGCGGCCAAUGCCGGACGCUGGACUUUGGAUACGUCUGCGAUUGCCCGGCCGGCUACACGGGUAUGCAGUGCCAGACGGACGUUGACGAUUGCGCCUCUCUGCCGUGUCUGAACGGCGCCACAUGCGUCGACGCCGUCAACAGUUACCAGUGCCUCUGCCCAGCCGGUUUCAGCGGCGCCCAGUGCCAGACGGACAUUGACGAGUGCCUGAGCGGGCCCUGUCACCCAGGCGCCACUUGCCUGGAUAAAAUCUUGGGCUACGUUUGCGUCUGCCCGCCCGGCAUGGCCGGCUCUCGCUGCGAACUCGAAGUCGACGAGUGUCUGAGUGGUCCGUGCCAAAACGGCGGCACCUGCUACGAUCGUGUGGCCAAUUACACGUGCGUCUGCCAGCCGGGCUGGGCCGGCAAACUCUGCGAGCAGGCCGUCGACGAGUGCCAGAGUCAGCCGUGCCUCAAUGGCGCCACUUGCGAAGAUUUGAUCGGCAAUUUCAUUUGCCACUGUCCGCUGGGCUACGACGGCCCACUUUGCCAGAACGACGUUGACGAAUGCCUGCCGGAACCCUGCGCGGCCGGAAGCACCUGCGUCAACCGACUGGGAUCCUUCGCUUGUUUGUGCCCGCCUGGAGUGGUCGGAUCGACUUGCGACACGGCCGUCAAUUCCGAUUUCAGUUUAGAAUUCACCAGCGCCGGCAAACUGGAUUACGCCGUCUGGGAGGGCGGACUGCGGACGGACGCCAGGCCGCUCAGACAGAUGACCAUGUGCGCCUGGAUCAAGACGACGGACCAGCAGAACUACGGCACCGUCUUCUCUUACGCCACCGACGACGAAGCCAAUUCGUUGACCCUGACGGACUAUUCCGGCUUCGUUCUCUACGUCAACGGCGCCAAAGUGGUGACGGACGUGACGGCCAACGACGGGCGUUGGCACCUGAUUUGCGCCACGUGGAAUUCACCGGACGGACAGUGGCGCAUCUACUCGGACGGAGAGCUCAAAGACAAGGGAUUCGGAUUGGCCAGCAAUUCGUCGAUCCAUCCCAACGGGACCGUCAUCCUCGGGCAGGAGCAGGACGUCCGCGCCGGAGGGUUCAGCAAUGCCGAAUCCUUCGUCGGCCAGCUGUACGGAGUCGAAUUGUGGGAUUCCGUCCUGGACGACCAACAAAUCGCCGGCCUGACCCUCUCCUGCCACCAGCCGGACAGCGAGUCCAGCAGCCAAUACCGUGGCAACCUCAUCACCUGGGCCGAUUUCAAGCACGGACUGCGCGGCGGAAUUCGAGUGGAGGAGUCGAUUUUUUGCCGCGGAUGCUCCGAUCCAAUUCCGCCGCAACACGGCGGAGUCAAAGUCGAAGGCAACGAGGCCGUCUACGAAUGCGAGCAGGGCUACCUCCUCUCGACUCCGUCGCCUCGUCGACCUUGUCUCGUCUACGGCGGAUGGUCCGGUCCCGAUCCGGAAUGCCAACGGGUCAGUUGCGGAUUUCCCGGAUACAUUCUCAACGGAUUGGUGAACGGAACCAAUUUCGUUUACGGUAACACCGUCUCCUACAAUUGCACGAGAGGCUUCCGCCUGUCCGGCGACGGAUUACGCACUUGCGAGGAAAACGGCCAAUGGAGCGGCUAUCCGCCCGAAUGCGUUCCGGUCACUUGUGAGCCACCCAUUCCGCCCGUCAACGGCUCCCAGAUUGAGCCGCCGGUGUCGCAAGAAUUCUACGCUGUCGGUGACCGGAUUACUUUUCAGUGUUCGACCGGCUUCCGGCUGGACGGACCGUAUUCCUUGACCUGCCAAGACGAAGGGCAAUGGGACGACGUUCUUCCGGUUUGUCAGCCUCUGGCUUGCACCCGCCCACCUUACGUCGAGCACGGCAUCGUCACCAACGGAGUGGCUGAAAUCCUUCCGGAAGAUCUGCCCCACUUUCUUGUGCCCGGCUCCAUCUUGACGUUCACUUGUCUGUUUGGUUACCAGCUGGAAUCAUCGGCCGAGGUCCAGUGCAGUCACGAAGGAUUCUGGAUCGGCCAGAUUCCGAAAUGCGUGCCCAUCCAAUGCGGAACGCCUCCGGAAAUUUAUCACGCCACCGUCCAGCUCUCUCGCCCGGAUAACGACCGAGUCGGAUCGGUGGCCUCUUACGUCUGCCAGUCGGGAUUCGAGCAUUUCGGUCCGGCCGAGCUUGAAUGCACCGAGAGUGGCACUUGGCUGGAUCGCAACAAACAAGCCACCCUGCCCGUCUGCAUGCCCGUCGACUGCGGCUCGCCGCCCACCGUCGACAACGGCGGAGUCUAUGCGGAAGAGCAGACUUUCGGAAGCAAAGCCCCGGUGACGUGUUAUUCCGGCUUCAAACUGAUGGGCGCCAGCAGCUGGAUCGAAUGCGGAGCCGAUAAUCGAUGGGGUGUCGCCCCUCAGUGUUUGCCCGUCGCCUGCGCCGAAGCCCCGCUCGUUCGCAACGGGACCCAAUCGGCCGCCGAACCGUUCGUCGCCGGAGAAAAACUGAGCUUCGCCUGCCAGGAUGGAUUCCGCAGCACGUCAUCCGACCUCCUAGUUUGCCUGGAAGAUGGCUCCUGGUCGGGCAACAUUCCCGAAUGCUUGCCGGAAGAGUGUCCUCCGCCGGAUGCGAUCGACAAUGGCGCCUGGCUCUACACGUCAGCUGUUGACGGUGAAAUGGUCAACGCCCAAACCGUUUUCUACACGGGUGCUGAAGUGGUUUACUCGUGUAACGAGGGCUUCCUGCUGGAGGGUGGAACACGACGAAGAUGUGCUGGAACAGUCGGCUGGAUGCCGCAAGGUCUACCUAAAUGCCGGACCCUGGCAUCGAUUUCCGGAAUCACGUGUCCAGCGUUGGACAACCCGGAUCACGGGACAAUUGUUGUCGAAGGUUUCGAAACGGGCCAACUGGCCACCUACGAAUGCGACACGGGCUUCCAGGCCGGCGCCACUUCGGGGCCGGCAACUCUGGUCUGCAAUUCGGACGGGACCUGGAGCGUUAACGACGCGGAAUCCAAUUCCAACGAGCCGUUCCGGUGCCAAGAAGUCGUUUGCAGCGAGCCGGAAACUCCCGCCAACGGGUCCGUCACUUUCACGUCCACCAAUUUCGGAUCGAAGGCGCUCUUCCGCUGCGAUCAAGGAUUCGUGCUGAGCGGAUCACAGCAGAGGACGUGCGGAAGCGAAGGCGAAUGGAUCGGCGGAGCCAAGCCCAAAUGCGUUCCUCGAACGUGUUCCAUGCCGGACAUUAUCGAGCACGGAUACAUCGGAUUCGAAGUGGGCGGAUCGGCCACCAGUCUGGGCACCGGAUCCGUCAUUCUUUACGACUGCGAGGAAGGAUACAAAUUAGUCGGAGCGCGGGAACGAUCCUGUUUGCCAUCCGGCGAUUGGACGGACGAAGAGCCGUCGUGCCAUCAGAUAUUUUGCGAGCGUCUGCCCAGCACCAUGGAGCACGGGACUGUCACGGGGGCCGAGGAGAACAUUUACGGUUCAGUCGUUCAAUUCGUUUGCCAUCCGGGAUACGAAUUAGACGGCCCGGAACGUUUGUCCUGCGAAGAUGACGAAAAUUGGAGCGGAAUAAUGCCCACCUGUCGCCCGGUGGAGUGUCCCAAUCCGGGCCUGGUUGCCAACAUAGUUGUUUCACUCAAACAAGCGGAUGUUCGAUUAGAUCCGGAAGUCUACCACUACGGCGACGUUUUAGUUUACACCUGCCGAAGAGGUUACGGAAUUGUCAAAUCCGACAACGAUUCCGGCGUUGUGGAGAGGCGCUGCUUGGCCGACGGCUCUUGGUCUUCCAAACCGCCCGUCUGUUCCAGAGUCUCCUGCCCGCCGGCCGUCAUUCCCCAGAAUGGGUACACAUCUCGUCCCGUUCAGAAUGAAGUGGCCAGCGUCAACGAAACGGAGGAAGCGGCCAUUGUUGGUCAAAUCAUCCACUACGGAUGCAAAAAAGGCUACCAGCUGAGCGACGACAGCCCCAAGGUGGCCAAAUGUCUGGAGACGGGCAAAUGGAAUGUCUCGCAAACGCCGACUUGUCAGCUGAUUCGGUGCCCUCAACCGCCCGUCGUCAAGAACGGCAAACUGGACGGAAACGGGAAAAAGGAAUACUCAUAUUUGGAUUCCGUCAAAUACGAAUGCGAUUUCGGAUUCCGCAUGACGGGCGAAGAUCAAGUGGCGUGCACUUUUUCGGGAGAUUGGGAAGAUCAGAUACCGACGUGCGUCCGAGCCAUUUGUCUGUCUGUCGACAUACUGGAAGACGGAAUCAUCACGCCCAUCUAUCCGCCGUCGGAAGGACAGAAAGCGGGCCGCCAACAGCGCCCAAUGGCAUUGAAAUUCUCCUGUCAAGACGGAUACGAUUUGGUGGGCAGCGCGUUGACCGAAUGCACGUCGACGGGCGAGUGGAAUCAUCCGUUUCCGGCUUGUGUUCCAUGGCCAUGCGAGUCUCCGCCGAUCCCGCCGAAUAGUCAAAUCCAAUCGACAGUCAUUCGACCGGAUAUCAUCACGGCGAUAGUCCGUUGCGAUCCCGGCUUUCGAUUACUCGGAUCGAAUUUAACUUGCGGUCCGGCCGGCAUUUGGAAAGGAAAAGCGGAAUGUGAAGCUCAGCUGUGUUCUCUUCCGAAACAACUGUCAACCGGGAAAGCAGUCAUCGGCGAUUUCAAAUUCACGCAACCGUUGAAGAGUUCGUACGGGUUUGGCGAGACGAUCCAGUUCAGUUGCCGGCUGGGCUAUGUGCUGGAAGACCCCCAAAUGUCGGCGCUAACCUGCGCCGAUGAUGGACAAUGGGACGAGCAGAAGAUUCCAGUUUGUAAACCCAUUCGCUGUCCAGAUGUCCAGGUGCCGAAACAUGGAACUGUCAGCGGAACGAGCUCAAUUUUGGACAGCCGGAUUACUUUCAGCUGCCAGGAAGGAUAUCAACUGAAUGGGGAGGAGCAAAUCACUUGCAGGCCGGACGGCACUUGGUCGCAUCCAGCAAUGCCCGUCUGUGUGACUCGUUCGUGUGGCGAUCCUCCGAAUAUCGACAAUGGAUUUGCCGUCGUCCGCGGCACAGGAGUCGGUGAUACGAUUUCCUACUCCUGUCAGACCGGACAUCGCCUUUCUGGAGUCGAAUCUAGAACAUGUUUGAGUAACGGUCGGUGGUCGGGAGAAGAUCCUGCCUGUGAUCCGGUGGUUUGUGCAGUACCGGAAGCCCCGGAACAUGGAUCCUGGACAGUAGGUGGUUUCGUUCCUGGCUCUACCAUUCGUUUCGAAUGCAAACCGGGUUUUACUCUGGUCGGUUCGGCCACUGUAACGUGUCUGACGGAUAAAUCGUGGAGCGAUCGCCCACCCAGUUGCCAGCUGAUUACUUGUCCACCUUUGAGAGAUCCGGAACACGGAACUGUCCAGUUGACCAAUUGGAUUUCGGACAAUCAAGAGCUCAAUAAUGACAUCAAUCAACAGCUGGCCGUGGGUUAUCAUUCUACGGCUCACUACAUGUGCAAUCGUGGAUAUCAACUAUUUGGCCCGGGUCAACGGACUUGCACGGACCAAGGAACAUGGAGCGAUCGAGGACCACAAUGUCAAAGAGUAUGGUGCCCUGAACCUCAAGCGCCAUUGCAAGGAUUUGUGAUGGGAACUGGCCGGCAGUAUGGCGACCGGGUUCGCUACGCUUGUAGCACCGGUUAUCGGUUAAUCGGGGCAGACGAUUCCACCUGCCAGGCGGAUGGAAUUUGGUCGACCGUGUCGCCUCAGUGUGAAGCCAGCUCUGACUUGCUUCGCGCCUCCUCCAGCCGUUCCCCACACGAUAGCUCCGGCAUCCGGAAAGCCAAUAACCACCGGAACGCAAAUGAUUCUUCGCUGCCAGGAAGGGUUCACACCGGUCGGUGACAUGACGCUUCAGUGUUUGCACAAUCAACAGUGGUCCACUGUCAAGGGCCAUUGCAAGAGAGUGCACUGCAGUCAUCCAGUUGCUAAAGGAACAGCUUCUGUGGUCGUCAUCAGUGGAGAGGCUGAUGCUGGAAGUGGACAGUACCAUUUCGGGGAUCGACUUCUUGUUAGCUGCAAACAUG
rnacentral:misc_RNA from 1 species